rnacentral:rRNA from 1 species
UACGUAGGUGGCAAGCGUUGUCCGGAUUUACUGGGCGUAAAGAGCGCGCAGGCGGUCGUGCAAGUCGCGUGUGAAAGCCCCCGGCUCAACUGGGGAGGGUCACGCGAUACUGCUCGACUUGAAGGCAGGAGAGGGAAGUGGAAUUCCCGGUGUAGUGGUGAAAUGCGUAGAUAUCGGGAGGAGCACCAGUGGCGAAGGCGACUUCCUGGCCUGUUCUUGACGCUGAGGCGCGAAAGCUAGGGUAGCAAACGGG